CCUACGGGAGGCAGCAGUGAGGAAUAUUGGUCAAUGGGCGCGAGCCUGAACCAGCCAAGUCGCGUGAAGGAAGACGGUUCUAGGGUUGGUAAACCUCUUUUAUCGGGGAGCGUAGGACGCCACGCGUGUCGUUCCGGGAGUACCCGAAGAAGAAGCAUCGGCUAAACCCGUCCCAGCAGCCGCGGUAAUACGGAGGAUGCGAGCGUGAUCGGGUUGUAUUGGGUUAAAGGGGUGCGCAGUGGGAAGGUCAAGCAAUCGGUAAAAUUGCAGGGCUCAACCUGGUCGAGCCGUUGAAACUGGUUGUCUUGAGUGAGUGAGAGGUAGGCGGAAUGCGUGGUGUAGCGGUGAAAUGCAUAGAUAUCAGGAAGAACUCCGAUUGCGAAGGCAGCCUACUGGCGCACAACUGACGCUGAUGCACGAAAGCGUGGGUAUCGAACAGGAUUAGAUACCCUAGUAGUC
rnacentral:rRNA from 1 species